rnacentral:lncRNA from 1 species
AACAAAACAUGCACUUUUGGUGUAAUUUUACUAAAUUCAAACAUGAAAACUGUUUUAAUGGUCGCAGAGAAGCCUUCCCUCGCACAGUCAAUUGCAAAACUUUUGUCGAAUGGCAAAAUGACAACGCGAAAAGGUUUGAACGGCGCUUGCUCUGUUCACGAAUACAAUGGUACCUUUCAAGGCACGACAGUGAAAUUUAAA